UACGUAGGUGGCAAGCGUUGUCCGGAUUUAUUGGGUUUAAAGGGUGCGUAGGCGGCGCGGAAAGUUGGGUGUGAAAUCCCUCGGCUCAACCGAGGAACUGCGCCCAAAACUACCGUGCUCGAGGAAGAUAGAGGUGAGCGGAACUUACGGUGGAGCGGUGAAAUGCGUUGAUAUCGUAAGGAACACCCGUGGCGAAAGCGGCUCACUGGGUCUUUUCUGACGCUGAUGCACGAAAGCUAGGGGAGCAAACGGG
rnacentral:rRNA from 1 species